rnacentral:rRNA from 1 species
UAACUGAACCUUCGGGGAACGUUAAGGGCGGCGAGCGGCGGACGGGUGAGUAAUGCCUGGGAAAUUGCCCUGAUGUGGGGGAUAACCAUUGGAAACGAUGGCUAAUACCGCAUGAUAGCUUCGGCUCAAAGAGGGGGACCUUCGGGCCUCUCGCGUCAGGAUAUGCCCAGGUGGGAUUAGCUAGUUGGUGAGGUAAGGGCUCACCAAGGCGACGAUCCCUAGCUGGUCUGAGAGGAUGAUCAGCCACACUGGAACUGAGACACGGUCCAGACUCCUACGGGAGGCAGCAGUGGGGAAUAUUGCACAAUGGGCGCAAGCCUGAUGCAGCCAUGCCGCGUGUAUGAAGAAGGCCUUCGGGUUGUAAAGUACUUUCAGCAGUGAGGAAGGCGGAUGUGUUAAUAGCACAUUCGUUUGACGUUAGCUGCAGAAGAAGCACCGGCUAACUCCGUGCCAGCAGCCGCGGUAAUACGGAGGGUGCGAGCGUUAAUCGGAAUUACUGGGCGUAAAGCGCAUGCAGGUGGUUUGUUAAGUCAGAUGUGAAAGCCCGGGGCUCAACCUCGGAAUUGCAUUUGAAACUGGCAGGCUAGAGUACUGUAGAGGGGGGUAGAAUUUC